rnacentral:rRNA from 1 species
AUACAGAGGGUGCGAGCGUUAAUCGGAAUUACUGGGCGUAAAGCGCGCGUAGGCGGCUUGGUCAGUCGGAUGUGAAAGCCCCGGGCUCAACCUGGGAAUGGCAUUCGAUACUGCCAGGCUAGAGUAUGGGAGAGGGAAGUGGAAUUUCCGGUGUAGCGGUGAAAUGCGUAGAUAUCGGAAGGAACACCAGUGGCGAAGGCGACUUCCUGGCCCAAUACUGACGCUGAGGUGCGAAAGCGUGGGGAGCAAACAGGAUUAGAAACCCUAGUAGUCC